CUGCUCUUCAAUAGCAGCACACAUACUAAAAUUGGAGCCAUACAGAGAAGAUUAGCACAGCCCCUCUGCAAAGAUGACAUGCAAAUUCGUUAAAUGUUCCUCUUAGUU
ensembl:snRNA U6 U6 spliceosomal RNA